rnacentral:lncRNA from 1 species
AUGCACACACAUGUCCUCCUACAGGCAAGGCUAGCAAACCUGUAAAAUAAGUAAUAGAUCUUGGAUGCCUCUCAUCUCCUCUUUUAGGGGUCUUCUACCCUUUGGCCCUCCUUCCUGAUGCCUCAUGGUUCUUUUGCUCACCCCUCAUCAGAUGAUAGCUUAGUCCCUUUUAGGGGUUGGCUCAUUGUCACAGUAGACUCUUAGGGAUGGAUAAUCAUUCAAGUUCAAAAGUAGUAAAUCUCUAGUGGUAGAAUUUCAAGCUUUGGGACAAGCAAAUGGAUGUGGGAGACGUUUUAGGGAGGGGAGACAUCUUAUCAUGCUGUGUGUGGUUGUGUAUUUCCCAUGACAGCUCUCCAGCACAGAACUCCCACGUGUAUAUCAUAUGUUUGCAUAUAUACCAUAAAAAUAAAAUACCCACAAAACUCUCAGAAUGAAAAGCAAACACAUAUACUGAGCAGGUGGAUUUUUAGAGUGUGCAACCUUUUUUAGGGGAAAAAAUUAUGAAAGCAUUUUCAGUGUCAAGUCUCACCACAAGGCAUGCUCUUGAAGCUGGAAGAGAGGCAUCCAGAAAUACGAGUUUGUCAUGGAAACGCUGACAGGGCUUCAGCUGAGGGAUGCUCACAGGUGCAGCCCAGAAUGGCGCAGCCUCUUGCCGCUUAUUUACAUCCCGGCCCACUGAAUGAAUUCUCUUUUCCUGUUUCCUGGCCCCUGGAAACUCAGCUGGCCUUCCGGGGACCUGAGGGUUUCUAUCAGGAAGGUCUCUGGUGGUGGUUUUCAGAUUUCUGGGGCAGGAAAUAGAGGGGGGGGUCUUAGGAUCAGUUUCAUUUCUGGAAGAAGAGCUCCUGGAGGGAGUACUGAAAGGAAUGAGGGGAGGAGGGAAGGAAUGAACGAAGGAAGGGAGCAAGGGAGGGAAACGCUGAUUCUAAGUGUCAGGCACAACCCUAGAAGCAUAUAGCCAUCAUAUUCAAGUCUUCAUCACCAUCAGCUGUAACCCAGUGAGUUAUCAAAGCUUAUUACUAUGAUACAGAGAAGGAAAGAGGCUGGCAGAUCCAGAGUGGGAGCUUACAACCACAUCCUUGGUAGGCUAGGUGGCUGGGUGGUGUAAGGAUUGGGAGUUCCCCUGACCCACCAGUUUUGCUGAUGCCGAAAGCCCUCAAGCAUGGCACAAAGGCCUUCCCUUGACAAGCAGUGAGAAAGAUGGAAAGGUAAUUCCUCCUGGGACCAUCCUUGGUCCUGUCAAGGGGUAGAAUGACCACAGACCUUGUGCUGGGGAUAGGCCUUGCUCCGGGGGACACUUGGUCCCUGAGGAUAUGGGUUCUCUCUUCUUCCCAACUGGGGCCCAGGAGUCCUGGCAGGAGCAAGAGAAGGGCAUCAGCUGCUUUAGGAGCCAAUAGGCAGGGCCUGAGAGGCUGGGGGAAAUGGUUGGGAAAAGGAAAAAGUGGUUUCUGUCUGAGGGAAGUUUCCAUCUAGCGGGGAAAGUGUGGUCCUUUAGGGGCUCCCAAUCCAAUCUGACAAGGGAGGCAGGAACUCUGAACACAAGGAGUCCAAGAAGGAUAAAAGAAAGAAAGAAAGCACAGUCCAUGCACUCCAGGGGCUCAGCGUCUGGAGAGAGAAAGACCUGUUUCUUCAACACUGGCCGUAGACUGCCCCACCCCUGACCAAGCAUCUCAGGAAUCAAAGCCACCAACCCCGCCCUGGACUGUGUGAAGAGCUGGGGUGAGACAGACAGCCCAGCUCUCUCCUAUGUGCCUGCCUGUCCUCCGAGCAUCCUCCUGCAGCCCUUUCUGUCAGCUGCCCGCUCUGUGGAGGCCUGCAGCUUUGGCCAGGCGCAGCGGCUCUGCUGGGAGGCUGGUUUGCACUCAGGGCUGCUCUGAUCGGGCCCACCUUUCCUUCCCCAGCAGGAGCCUUGGGAGCUUGGGAGACAUUCCAGGACUGGCUCUGACACGAAUUUGCUGUUCAGUGCGCCAGGCGAUCAGAGCUGACUCCUCUCCCUUUUCCCUUGGAGGUGUUGAUAGUAACAGCAGAGACGAGCUGCCAAGUUGGCAGGAGAACAGAGCGACUGUGCACUGCGGAUUGCGGUGGGGGUGGGGGUGCAGCAAGCUGGCAGAGGGCUGGGCUGAAGCCACAGUUUGUUUACCCUGAGAUGGAAAGGGUCCCUGCAGUCUCGGCAGCCAGCAUCUUGCCCAGGAGGGGAGAUUAGAGAGGAAGGCGGAGGCCCCGGGGGAGCCCUAGGGCAGUGGUGUGGGGUGAGGCAUCUGGGAGGUUCCCAGGUCUGGGUGCUGCCAGAGUCGGUGGGAGGGGCCUUCUGGCUGGGCCUGAAGCCACCAGGCAGCCUGGCCCCGAGAGGCAUGCCGGGCCUCAGAGGCAGGACAGAGAUCCACCUUUGUUCCUGCUGUCCAUGAAGCAGCUUUGGAGUUUCCAAACAGGAAUGGACCUGGGGUGGGGAGCAGGCGAGUUCUGUAGCUUCUUCCUCCACAGAGGACCUUAGAAGGCACCCAUGCUGUCAAUCAAAUAGACCUGGGACCUUGAGCAAGUCAUUCAACUUCUUUGAGCCUCAGAGACGAAUAUCUACUUCAGAGCUUUGUGUGAGGAUUCAACAAAGUAGUAACAGCAAAAACUUAUCUAUUGCUUACCACAAGGCAGACACUCUUCUAAGAGCUUUACAUACGUGAAGGCACUUAAUCUUCAAACGACUUCAUCAGGUGGGUGCUAUUAUUAUUCCCACUUUAUUAAUGAAGUAACUAAGGCACAGAAAGGGUAAGUAAUUAUCCAAGGUCACAGAGCUAGUGAGUAGCAAGGUUGGGUUUGAACUCAGUCGUGUGUCACUUAGGCCAUGUUCCCAGCCCUUACACAAACUGCCCUCACAGUGCAACAGAGUUCUUAGCACAGUGCUUGGCACAGAGCAAGCAUUUAAUAAACAUUGGCUCUCACCAUGACUUCCUGAAAGCAGUUCCAGCAGGGGACCCAGGCUCCUGACAUCCUCCCCAGGGACCCCACGGGGCCCUAGGGCUGAUUCUCUUCCAUCUUUGGUUCACACCACCUCGCUUCUCCUGGGAGCUGGAGCAGUUCCUCCACGGGAGCGAGAGCCACUGGUCUCCCCUGCUCCUUGCUCCUCGGUCCCCUCCUCCCACCUAAGGCAGAGCAGAGCGGAGCAGAGGAAUUCUCAGCUUCCUCUAGUUACCAUCAGCCUGCAAAGAAAACAUAGUCUGCUGCGUCUGCUGCCAGUUCCUCUCUGGUGACAGCCACAACCCAUUUGCUCAGUGCCAUUCCCAGCCUGUGCUGUUGGUAGAGCUGGGAGCCUAGGGGUGGACCCCAGUGUGCUGCACGAGACCCUGGGCCAGUCACUUCAAGGCUCGGGUUUGAGGGUUGCUCAAAGGGGCAGGCCUGGGCCAAAUAAUUUCUUGGCUCUAAGGGUUAAGACUGAAGGUUGGUGUGCUGCAUUCAUAGCCUCUUCUUAGGGUAGGAAGUCCAUUGUAUGGACAUGUUCCCCAUAUUUGGGGGAGUUCAUUAAUGCAGUCUGGCAAAUUAGUAAGUGGCAUUACAAGUCCCCUAAACUGUGCUACUGGCCACCUUUGCCUCUUAGGAGUUUCCAGGGAAUGAAUCCGUUGCCACUUUCUGGGCAGCCAGAGCUACCUCCUAUCAGCUGUGAGACAGCAAACCAGAGCCAGGAGCCUGGAUUACCGACUGCUUCCCAGAAAUGCAUACUCUGUCAGAUCCCAAGGGGCCCAUUUACAAUUGAUGACAAGAAGUCGGAGGGGUGAGUAUGGAGAGGAGACUCCAGAGGAGUGGGGAGUGACUCCCUUCCUCCUGCUGCUGAUCCUGUUUGGUGCCAAGCAAUAGUCAGAAAUCAGGAGUGGUGAGAAGCAAAUGGCCCGGGUGGAAAGGAGAGGGGAGUUCACCAGGAGCAAGAGAAUGAAGCAUGGCUUGCCAAGUGAUGCCAUGUCCGCACCCGGGAUCCAAACCGGUGAACCCCGGGGCGCCAAAGCAGAUUGUGCACACUUAACCGCUGUGCCACCAGGCCGGCCCCUGGACUAGCCACCUUUUGAGUGCUCAACAGCCGUAUGUGUUUAGUGGCUACCGUGUUGGAUUGUGUAGACGAAGAGACUGCAUUUGAGAGGAACAAGAAUGGCAAAGCUGUUG